CCAUGCCCAGUCACAUCUGGUCACUGCAAUCCCUGCUGCUAAGUCCAGCAGCCACUUCUGUAUCUUAAUCUUAAUUGAUCCCUCAGGGACACUCAACACAGCUGACCUCCUGUUUGUUUCUGGAAACUUCCCCGACACUGUUCCUGUUGACCUUCUUUUACCUUACCAGCUGUUCUGGCCCCACAUCCUCUACUGCUCCCUUUUCUGUCCUAGGGUUCCCCAGAGCUUUGGCCUCUCCCUGCUCCUCUGUCCAUAUCUCCCCACCCUGGCCACAGAGCUGGGGCCCAUCUGACUAGAACCAGGGACUGUGGCAUAGGCCCCUCAUCAGAGCUCCAGGCCUGAGAGCCUGUCAGUCCCCAAUCUGGGGCCAAGAGUGAAAAUGGCCACACUUUUGAUUUGCAAUAUAUCACCCACCCCUGUCCAGGCUUCCCCAUCUACUACAGAGGUCCUUGUGGUCUCCUCACAGCUCCAUGCAGCAGCUAGAUGUAUCUGAUUGGGUUUGAUUGCAUGCUUGGGACCACCAGCAGUCCUUUGCAAUCUACUGCCACCUUCUCCUCCAACCUCUCUCACACUCUGCCCUCUUCCUCCUCCUCCUCACUCUUCCAUGCAGACAUCCUUGGACUUUGUCAUAGCCAGCCACUGGAGCCCUCAGCCCUCAGCAAAGCCCCUUGCAUCUCCUGUAGGACUCUGCUCUGACAAUUAGCUUCUCCCUCUUCUGACCUCUCUAUCUUUACUUACAAUGGACUCAAGUCUCAUCAGUUUUAUGAGCCACAGGACCACUGCCUGUCUUUGAUCCCUUGCUGGAUUCCCAGGCUAGUCUCCCUCCAGCUUCUAGAAGCCAGAAGUUGAUAGGUAGGCUUCUGUCAGGCCUUGUACAAGCCAACAUAAGCAAAGCCAGUCCAGCCGCUCUUCUAUGGGGGCAGUGGAAAGAGUGCUGUCCUGCUAGGUAGGACACUGGGGUCUGCCUGGCCCCAGUUAGCUCCUUCCUAUGUGAGGGAGUGGACAUAUUAUAAGUUCUUAAUGUCAUUUCCAAGUUCAAGGUCCUAGAAUUUGGUUUUCUUGCUUUAGAUAAGGUGUCAGCAAACUACAGUCAGAGGGUUAACCCCAGCACUCUGCUAGGGUUAUAAAUAAGUUUUUAUUGGCAAGUGGCCAUGGGCAUUCAUCUAUGUUCUGUCCACAGCUUCUGUCAAGCUACAAGAGCAGGGUUGUGUAGUUGCGACAGAGACCUGGCCCCAAAAGCUAAAUAUAUUUACUCUCUGAACAGUUGGCCAGUCCCUAGUUUAGACAAUGAAUCACCCUGACUACAAUGAGUCCCUUUCAGCCCCCAGAGUCUGGACCUUGGGGCCUAUAGCUCAGCCAGGGCAAGCACAGAGCUCUUAAAUCAGUUUAAAGGAGGCAGACCUUGGAGCCUUGGCAGUGCAAAAAAAAACUGGAGCCAAAAUGUUCCAUAAAACGGGAGUUUUCUAACUCCCUGUUGAAAUCCAGUGAGGAUUUUCUCUGGACUUGGUGAAGCCACAUCUGCCAGAUUGCAGAUGGUCAGCCAUUCUCUCUCAGGUCUUUAUCCCAGACUGGUUUCUGAAAUAGGGGUAUCACAGAAAUUGAGGCCCAUUUGACAUUGUUAAUAAAAAGAUUAUAAUUUACUUUUUAUAGCCAAUUUAGGUAUUUCCUUGUUAGUUAGGAUUUCUGGUGCAGGACUGGAGUGUUGAUGCUCAGGACAUUACCUUCUCCAGCUACCAGCCACACCUAUUAAGUCACGGAAAAGAGAAAAAGCUGAACACUGGUGCCCUUGAUCCUGGGGAUGUGCUUAGUAAGUUCGCCAGCAAUGCACCCAUGAUCUUGGCAACACCCUUUUCCUUGCUGAGCAGGAGGCCUUAUUUGGAUCUGGGUCAUAUGAUCAGGCCAGGCCCCUGCUCAAACCUAUCCACAGGUCUCAUUGCACCUGGCUGAACUCCAAAGCCCUCCCCCACAAAGGGCGGCCAAGGCCACAGGACAGUCCUUGCCUGCUGCUUCCGCUUCUAUAGCGAUGGCUGCUCUGGCCCUAACAGAUUGUCCAGGGUGCUCCUCUUGGGAGUAAUCUGCCAUGUUUGCUUCCUACUGCCACAGCCCAGUGGAGUACUUUCUUAGCCAACACUUGGGGAGCACAGGUGUGAACGAGAGAUCUGUCCUGGAAUGAGAGGGCCACCCUGCUCUAACAUUCUGCUGUUGUGUUCAAAGCAGGCUCAAGUCAUCAUGAGUCUUACAGCUGAUGGCUUGGGAUCAUCUGCCCAGGGGAGACUCCAGUGCCUCUGUGUGCCUUAGACAACAGGGCUUGUGGAGCUUGGUGGGCAGCUGACCUGGAUGAAUGAGGGAGAAGAGCCACAGGAGCCAAGAGAAACGGCGGUUUACCUGCGUCUGGAUCCGGUUGAGGCCCCGGAACCAGAGGAUCUGGCCCCUGCGCAGUUCCCGCUCAGCAUGGUCUAUCUCCUCUUCCCCCUCGGCCAGCUCCUCAUCGGUCAUCUCAUCUUUCCCAGGCCCAUGUCCAGCUUCCUUCAGGCACUUGAGCUGGCUGGUGGGGAUGGUGGCGAUGACCUGUGGAGGCCACAGUCGAGGGACAGACAGCAAGCAGAGGUGGCCAUGAGAGCAGGUUCUGCUGGAGUCAGCAAGAGACCAGAGGCUCCACCUCCCACCAACAUAGGCUGAGGUCUGGUGUCUCAGGCCACCCCCGCUGGGCCUGCAGACCCUUGUUUCCUAAACUGCCCCUCCCUGCAGGCAGACAACUCCUCCAUCGAGUCCCUGCCAAAGGGCCAGGAGUAGUCAGAGAAGCCUAUCUGUAGAGUGCUGUGCAGUAAAGAUGGGUCCUGGGAGGGAUCUUGAAGCCUGGAGCAUCCUGCCUGAAAGAAGUGUGGUGCAUGGAGGCCUUGGCUUCCCACUAAUCUAUGCAAACGUUUUAAUUUACAGUGGGGACCUUGAGACACAGAGGGGCUGGAGAGUGAGGCCCAUGUGACAGACCCCAAAGAAAAUCCCUAGAUACCAGAGCUGAGCUUCCUAGCUGACAAUACCCCACACAUGCUGUCCCUCAUGGUGGCUGGUUAUACUACUCCCAAGGAGUGACACGUGGAAGCUCACAUCUGGGCUCUCCUGGAGACAGCAUCUCCUGAGGAAGCUCAGUCUACAAAAGGGCCAAGAUCAGGGUUCAUCCAGGGAGGGAGAGGUGACAACUGGCAAGGGAAAGAAGAGGAAAAGCCAGGGAGGGCUGAAGGGAAGGCUUGGCUUUAUUUCCCUGUCUGGGCAGAGAAUGGUGGAUUACUCUGUUCAUCUUGUGUGUCUGAACUUUGUUAAACAUGGCUGAGAGGGGACUUGAUGAUCUUUUCAUAGAGGUUCCUUUCCAUUGGUUUUAACAUGAUUUUUUUUUGUCAUUGAAAGCAGUUAAGAACAAAAAGAGUGGUGCAUAGCCUUAUGGGACAAAGUUUCAGGCUGGUUACCUCCUGUCCUAGGAAAGGCCUAGAGCAGACACUGUGUCAGGAACUGGGAGCUCAAAGAUCAAAAAGGUGCUGGCACUGUCCUGGCUCUGUGGAAUCUAGGCUCUAUGGAAUCCAGGCUAUAGGAAGCCAAGGGACUCCAUAGGAUGACCAAGCCCAAGUGUGACUGGGAAGAGAGUUGCAGUGGCAGAUGGAAAGAGAAUUCCAAAAACAAGAUGGAGGAAUUGGGCAGGCCAUCCCUGAGGACUAAUGCCAGGUACCAACAGUCUGGCCUCUGCAGCAACUGCAGGAGCCCUCUGGCUGGCUUGGGGUGAUGCCAGUGGAUCAAGAAACAAAAUACAGAGCACUAUGGACUAAACUGUGUCCCCCAACUUCAUAUGUUGAAUCCGUAGCCACUGCACUCCCCACCCCCUGCAAGUACGUGAUACUUGGAGGAAGGAGAUUAAAUUAAAUGAUACCAGAGAUCUCCAGCUUUUUCUCUUGGCCCUGUGAGCAUGCAGUGAGAAAGCAGCUGGCCACAAGCUAGGAAAAGACCCUCACUGGAAACAGAAUUGGCUGGAACCUUGAUCUUGGACUUUCAUCCCCCAGAGCUAUGACAAGAUAAACAUCUGUAAUUUAA